GUCCACAUCCAUACCUCCCUGAGCUUCUCUGAUUUUGGCAGUUAAGCAGGGCCGAGCCCGGUUAGUACUUGGAUGGGAGACAAGAUGCGAAUAGAUGAGCAUUGGUGAGCA
ensembl:rRNA predicted gene, 23668